AACUACUCUCUCUCUCUCUCUCUCUCUCUCUCUCUCUCUCUCUCUCUCCAUGGCAAUUGCCUGCUCGCGCUGGUGGCACGCACCAAUCUACUUCACGGUCUCCGUGGUCCUAGCCGUCAUGGCAAUCUCAACAGCUCUGCACCCAGAAAGCGACUCCGCAAUCCCAUCAAACACCGCCGCCCUCCGCGAGCUCACAAGAAACGCCUCUCAAGCUCUCAGAAAACCAGGAUUCAACGCCAUUGCCACCCUUCUUCAGAUCUCCCCCGAACUCUUCCUCUCCCCUUCCUCUCAAUCAACCAUCUUCGCCAUCCAUGACUCCGCCAUCUCCAAUCUCACUCUCACCCCCUGGCUCGCCAAACCUCUCCUCCAAUAUCACACUUUCCCUUCCAAGCUCUCCCUCCGAGACCUCUUGGCAAAACCCCAAGGAACCUGCCUCCAGACUCGUCUCAAGGGAAAGAAUGCAGCCAUCACGAAGAUUGACGCGAAACAGAGAUCUUUGGAGAUCAACAACGUCUCAAUUUCUCACGCGGAUCUGUUUCUUGGAGGACCCAUUUCGAUUCACGGCGUUCUUGAGCCUUUCUCUCCUCUGGAUCCCCAAGAUGUUCGUCAGGGCUGGGCUUUUAUUCGAUCGCCCAUCUGCGAUUCGAAUCACCGGCUGGUUUCGGGUUUCGGGAAAUCCAAGAACAUUCCGGAGUGGAAUCGAAUUAUCCGAUUGCUGAGUUUAAAUGGGUUCGUGUCGUUCGCAGUUGGGCUGCAUGCUGUUCUUGAUAAUCUUCUCGAAGAUUGCAUGGAUUUGAGCGAUUUAACGGUCUUUGCCCCGCCGGACCUGGCAUUCGUGGCUUCUCCUUUGCCGCUGCUUGACAGAAUUGUGAGGCUUCAUAUACUGCCUCGGAGGUUUACUUACGCAGAGAUGGGCGCGCUGCCAGAGAAGGCGUCGUUGAGGACGCUGCUACCAGAUAUGGAUCUUGAAAUUUCUGGGAGGGGGGUAAAUAUGAGUGCAGGAUUGGCUGUUAAUGGUGUGGAGAUAACAGCGCCGGAGAUUUUCUCGUCGGAGAAUUUUAUGGUGCAUGGGAUUUCACGAGCUUUGGAGUUGGCUGAACUUCCCAAUAGUUCAUGAUUCGAUUAAAAUCGCAGAUUGAUGGGUGCUUAAUCUGAUGAUCAUGUGACCUUGCUAAGUUUUAUGGUGGAGAAAUUAUUAAGCAAUAGUCAGCCUAAGUGGGAUCCAAGCUGCUAUGCACGCUAAAAAAUGGCUUUCACCAAAGCAAUUCUAUUGGAAGGGCGGCGUUUAUUGUUGCAGGCAAAAGGGGAAUAUUGUCGACACUUUGAGAUACUUCUCACCAUUACUUCACAGAGAAAAUACAGUCCAUAGCAUCAUGGGUGUCCGUUUUCUUGGAAUUGUUCCUGCCAAGAAGAUUCUGCAGUGAGUUCUUCGUAGUCCACGUAUUACAGAUGUACCCAAAGGCCACUUUGUUGUUUAUGUUGGAGAAAUAUGCAAGAAGCGGUUUGUAGUUCCAAUAUCUUAUUUGAAGCAUCCUUCAUUCCAUAAUUUGUU